UGCCCUAGUAACGGCGAGUGAAGCGGCAACAGCUCAAAUUUGAAAUCUGGCGUCUUUGGCGUCCGAGUUGUAAUUUGCAGAGGGCGCUUUGGCAUUGGCAGCGGUCCAAGUUCCUUGGAACAGGACGUCACAGAGGGUGAGAAUCCCGUACGUGGUCGCUAGCCUUUACCGUGUAAAGCCCCUUCGACGAGUCGAGUUGUUUGGGAAUGCAGCUCUAAAUGGGAGGUAAAUUUCUUCUAAAGCUAAAUACUGGCCAGAGACCGAUAGCGCACAAGUAGAGUGAUCGAAAGAUGAAAAGCACUUUGGAAAGAGAGUUAAAAAGCACGUGAAAUUGUUGAAAGGGAAGCGCUUGCAGCCAGACUUGCCUGUAGUUGCUCAUCCGGGUUUUUACCCGGUGCACUCUUCUAUAGGCAGGCCAGCAUCAGUUUGGGCGGUUGGAUAAAGGUCUCUGUCACGUACCUCCUCUCGGGGAGAACUUAUAGGGGAGACGUAAUGCAACCAGCCUGGACUGAGGUCCGCGCAUCUGCUAGGAUGCUGGCGUAAUGGCUGUAAGCGGCCCGUCUUGAAACACGGACCAAGGAGUCUAACAUCUAUGCGAGUGUUUGGGUGUCAAGCCCGAGCGCGUAAUGAAAGUGAACGGAGGUGGGAACCUUUCGGGGUGCACCAUCGACCGAUCCUGAUGUCUUCGGAUGGAUUUGAGUAAGAGCAUAGCUGUUGGGACCCGAAAGAUGGUGAACUAUGCUUGAAUAGGGUGAAGCCAGAGGAAACUCUGGUGGAGGCUCGCAGCGGUUCUGACGUGCAAAUCGAUCGUCAAAUUUGGGCAUAGGGGCGAAAGACUAAUCGAACUAUCUAGUAGCUGGUUUCCUGCCGAAGUUUCCCUCAGGAUAGCAGUAACGUUUUCAGUUUUAUGAGGUAAAGCGAAUGAUUAGAGGCCUGGGGGUUGAAACAACCUUCACCUAUUCUCAAACUUUAAAUAUGUAAGAAGUCCUUGUUACUUAAUUGAACGUGGACAGUUGAAUGUAUCGUUACUAGUGGGCCAUUUUUGGUAAGCAGAACUGGCGAUGCGGGAUGAACCGAACGCGGGGUUAAGGUGCCAGAAUAUACGCUCAUCAGACACCACAAAAGGUGUUAGUUCAUCUAGACAGCAGGACGGUGGCCAUGGAAGUCGGAAUCCGCUAAGGAGUGUGUAACAACUCACCUGCCGAAUGAACUAGCCCUGAAAAUGGAUGGCGCUCAAGCGUAUUACCCAUACCCCGCCGCUGGGGCAAGAUUUAAGCCCCAGCGAGUAGGCAGGCGUGGAGGUCCGUGACGAAGCCU
rnacentral:rRNA from 1 species